GGGUCAGCGACUUAUAUUCUGUAGCAAGGUUAACCGUAUAGGGGAGCCGCAGGGAAACCGAGUCUUAACUGGGCGUUAAGUUGCAGGGUAUAGACCCGAAACCCGGUGAUCUAGCCAUGGGCAGGUUGAAGGUUGGGUAACACUAACUGGAGGACCGAACCGACUAAUGUUGAAAAAUUAGCGGAUGACUUGUGGCUGGGGGUGAAAGGCCAAUCAAACCGGGAGAUAGCUGGUUCUCCCCGAAAGCUAUUUAGGUAGCGCCUCGUGAACUCAUCUUCGGGGGUAGAGCACUGUUUCGGCUAGGGGGUCAUCCCGACUUACCAACCCGAUGCAAACUACGAAUACCGAAGAAUGUUAUCACGGGAGACACACGGCGGGUGCUAACGUCCGUCGUGAAGAGGGAAACAACCCAGACCGCCAGCUAAGGUCCCAAAGUCAUGGUUAAGUGGGAAACGAUGUGGGAAGGCACAGACAGCCAGGAUGUUGGCUUAGAAGCAGCCAUCAUUUAAAGAAAGCGUAAUAGCUCACUGGUCGAGUCGGCCUGCGCGGAAGAUGUAACGGGGCUAAACCAUGCACCGAAGCUGCGGCAGCGACACUAUGUGUUGUUGGGUAGGGGAGCGUUCUGUAAGCCUGCGAAGGUGUGCUGUGAGGCAUGCUGGAGGUAUCAGAAGUGCGAAUGCUGACAUAAGUAACGAUAAAGCGGGUGAAAAGCCCGCUCGCCGGAAGACCAAGGGUUCCUGUCCAACGUUAAUCGGGGCAGGGUGAGUCGACCCCUAAGGCGAGGCCGAAAGGCGUAGUCGAUGGGAAACAGGUUAAUAUUCCUGUACUUGGUGUUACUGCGAAGGGGGGACGGAGAAGGCUAUGUUAGCCGGGCGACGGUUGUCCCGGUUUAAGCAUGUAGGCUGGUUGUCCAGGCAAAUCCGGAUAAUCAAGGCUGAGGUGUGAUGACGAGGCACUACGGUGCUGAAGUAACAAAUGCCCUGCUUCCAGGAAAAGCCUCUAAGCAUCAGGUAACAUCAAAUCGUACCCCAAACCGACACAGGUGGUCAGGUAGAGAAUACCAAGGCGCUUGAGAGAACUCGGGUGAAGGAACUAGGCAAAAUGGUGCCGUAACUUCGGGAGAAGGCACGCUGGUGUGUAGGUGAAGCCCCUGCGGGUGGAGCUGAGACCAGUCGAAGAUACCAGCUGGCUGCAACUGUUUAUUAAAAACACAGCACUGUGCAAACACGAAAGUGGACGUAUACGGUGUGACGCCUGCCCGGUGCCGGAAGGUUAAUUGAUGGGGUUAUCCGUAAGGAGAAGCUCUUGAUCGAAGCCCCGGUAAACGGCGGCCGUAACUAUAACGGUCCUAAGGUAGCGAAAUUCCUUGUCGGGUAAGUUCCGACCUGCACGAAUGGCGUAAUGAUGGCCAGGCUGUCUCCACCCGAGACUCAGUGAAAUUGAACUCGCUGUGAAGAUGCAGUGUACCCGCGGCAAGACGGAAAGACCCCGUGAACCUUUACUAUAGCUUGACACUGAACAUUGAGCCUUGAUGUGUAGGAUAGGUGGGAGGCUUUGAAGCGUGGACGCCAGUCUGCGUGGAGCCAACCUUGAAAUACCACCCUUUAAUGUUUGAUGUUCUAACGUUGGCCCCUGACCGGGGUUGCGGACAGUGUCUGGUGGGUAGUUUGACUGGGGCGGUCUCCUCCCAAAGCGUAACGGAGGAGCACGAAGGUUAGCUAAUCCUGGUCGGACAUCAGGAGGUUAGUGCAAUGGCAUAAGCUAGCUUGACUGCGAGCGUGACGGCGCGAGCAGGUGCGAAAGCAGGUCAUAGUGAUCCGGUGGUUCUGAAUGGAAGGGCCAUCGCUCAACGGAUAAAAGGUACUCCGGGGAUAACAGGCUGAUACCGCCCAAGAGUUCAUAUCGACGGCGGUGUUUGGCACCUCGAUGUCGGCUCAUCACAUCCUGGGGCUGAAGUAGGUCCCAAGGGUAUGGCUGUUCGCCAUUUAAAGUGGUACGCGAGCUGGGUUUAGAACGUCGUGAGACAGUUCGGUCCCUAUCUGCCGUGGGCGCUGGAGAAUUGAGGGGGGCUGCUCCUAGUACGAGAGGACCGGAGUGGACGCAUCACUGGUGUUCGG
rnacentral:rRNA from 1 species